UACGUAGGGUGCGAGCGUUAAUCGGAAUUACUGGGCGUAAAGGGUGCGCAGGCGGUUAUAUAAGACAGAUGUGAAAUCCCCGGGCUCAACCUGGGAACUGCGUUUGUGACUGUAUGACUAGAGUACGGUAGAGAGGGGUGGAAUUCCUGGUGUAGCAGUGAAAUGCGUAGAUAUCAGGAGGAACACCUGUGGUGUAGACGGCUUUCUGGACCAUAGCUGACGCUGAGACACGAAAGCGUGGGUAGCAAACAGG
rnacentral:rRNA from 1 species